CAGUCGCGGUAAUACAGAGGGUGCGAGCGUUAAUCGGAUUUACUGGGCGUAAAGCGUGCGUAGGCGGCUUCUUAAGUCGGAUGUGAAAUCCCUGAGCUUAACUUAGGAAUUGCAUUCGAUACUGGGAAGCUAGAGUAUGGGAGAGGAUGGUAGAAUUCCAGGUGUAGCGGUGAAAUGCGUAGAGAUCUGGAGGAAUACCGAUGGCGAAGGCAGCCAUCUGGCCUAAUACUGACGCUGAGGUACGAAAGCAUGGGGAGCAAACAGGAUUAGAUACCCCCGUAGUCCCUGUCUCUUAUACACA
rnacentral:rRNA from 1 species